rnacentral:rRNA from 2 species
GCAUAUCAAUAAGCGGAGGAAAAGAAACCAACAGGGAUUGCCUCAGUAACGGCGAGUGAAGCGGCAACAGCUCAAAUUUGAAAUCUGGAGCCUUCGGCUUCCGAGUUGUAAUUUGAAGAGGAUGUUUCGGUGCGACCUGGGCCUAAGUUCCUUGGAACAGGACGUCAUGGAGGGUGAGAAUCCCGUACAUGGCUGCAGGUUUGCUUCUAUGUGAAACUCCUUCGAAGAGUCGAGUUGUUUGGGAAUGCAGCUCAAAAUGGGUGGUAAAUUUCAUCUAAAGCUAAAUAUUGGCGGGAGACCGAUAGCGCACAAGUAGAGUGAUCGAAAGAUGAAAAGCACUUUGAAAAGAGAGUUAAACAGUACGUGAAAUUGUUGAAAGGGAAGCGCUUGCAAUCAGACUCGCCUUCAGUUGAUCAGCCUUCCUUCUGGUUGGUGCACUCUGCUGUUGGCGGGCCAGCAUCAGUUGGGGCGGUGGGAUAAAGGCGGCAGGAAUGUGGCUCCCCCGGGAGUGUUAUAGCCUGCUGUGUCAUGCCACCAGUCCCGACUGAGGUCCGCGGUUCGCCUAGGAUGCUGGCUUAAUGGUUGUAAGCGACCCGUCUUGAAACACGGACC